CACAGUAGCUGCGAGCGACAUCGCGUUGCGUGGAAAUUACGUGUGAGGCCGUUUCAACUGUUCUACUAUUCAUAAUUUAUGAGCAUUAUUUUUGACGUGUUAACAUUAUUGUGCAUUAGCUUUAUGGGAACUUUGACGAAGUAUUCAAUAGUGUGCUUUUCAUAUGAUAAAUUGCACUUUAGCAACAUAUAUUUUCUUUUAUAAAAUAUAUACGUAAAUGUUGGCUUUUAUGGCUUUUUGUAACUCGUAGCUGUGCCUUCGUUUGCAGUUAGCUUGGAGCGGUUAUAAUUUCUUAUUUGUCUAGCAAAGCUCACUCAUUAAGAUGUCUGCAAGAUAAGUAAAUAAAAAUAUUCUCCUAGACUAUUCUAUUUUCGUCAAUAUUUGAUUGCAAAUAUUAAAAAGCACAACUGACAUAUGACUUGACAAAUACUGGUUUUUAACAUAGGACGCGCUUUACACCUGAACACGUGAAUAUAAUAAAACCGGUGUGUACAUUCAAACACAUUUGCCAGAAGUUGAAAAAUAAAUAACAAAAUUAAUCUAUUUGUCAACCCGAAGGGAGAGGAUUCCAAUUCGUAUUAAGACUAUAAUCUCAUGGAAGUGGGUGUGGGAAGACAACGUCGUACAUAUUUUAAACGGGUACGCCUCCAUUCGCACAAAGGCGUAAUUUAUUGUACCGCGUGGAGACGGGCUGCUGAGUUAUGUCUCAGCGAUAGCGACGCUUUUAACUAUCUAAUGGAGCGAUUUACUGAGAGCACCUUGUGCCUAUUUACCCGUAUUUACAAUGGGGCAUGCAUUUAAUUGGUAGCGAUGAUUUGUUGUAACCUUAGUUUAAGCUAUUCAUUAGUAUUGUAGAAAAUUCAACAUAAUAUUACUUAUUAGCCAUAAUUAUUGUAUAGGCUAGAUUGUCAUUAAUAUAAAGUAGCACUUUUUGUGAGCUUUAUUGUAUAAAAAAAACGAAUAACAUAAGGAAUUUAGUAUUUAUUUAUGAUGGAACAAACAGGCAGUAGGAUCACCUGAUGUUUUGUAACAAGCCCAUGGACACUCGGAUUGUCAAAGAGCACGGCGUUUCUGUUGAAAGCCUAGUGGUUAAGCGUAUGAUUGUCAACUAUCUUGCUUCCGAAACCCAGAAGCGGUCGAAUUAUUUUGUCUAUUAGCUUGUACGGAUAACAGGAGGACAAAUUCGUAACUGGUGUGUCUUAGAUCCCUACUGUAAAGUAAAUAAUUAAAAAUGUG